rnacentral:rRNA from 1 species
AUGCUCCUCUCCGGGCCGCAGCCGCCUACCCCGCCGCUGCUGCUCCCGGAGAGCAGCGGCGAGGACGGCGGCGCCCACGACCACGACUCCUCCUCGCGGGCCUCGGCCCCGAAGAAGCGCGCCGAGACCUGGGUCCAGGACGAGACGCUCAGCCUCAUCGCGCUGCGGCGCGAGAUGGACAACCACUUCAACACCUCCAAGUCCAACAAGCACCUCUGGGAGGCCAUCUCCGCCAAGAUGCGGGAGCAGGGCUUCGACCGCUCCCCGACCAUGUGCACCGACAAGUGGCGCAACCUCCUCAAGGAGUUCAAGAAGGCGCGCAGCCACGCCCGCAGCAGCGCCGGCGCCGGCGGGAACGGCUCUGCCAAGAUGGCCUACUACAAGGAGAUCGACGACCUGCUCAAGCGCCGCGGGAAGGCGGCCGCCUCGCCCGCGGGGAGUGGUGGUGGAGGUGGCGCCGCGAAGAGCCCCACGCCCACCUCCAAGAUCGAGUCUUACCUGCAAUUCGCGGAUAAAGGUUUUGAAGAUGCCAACAUUCCAUUUGGCCCUGUUGAAGCGAGUCAUCCACUUGCCUUAACGACAGCUGAUGCAGUUGCAACCAAUGGUGUGAAUCCAUGGAACUGGAGAGACACCUCAACUAAUGGUGGAGAUAAUCAAGGUACUUAUGGUGGGAGGGUCAUCCUAGUCAAGUGGGGUGACUAUACUAAAAGAAUAGGGAUUGAUGGUACUGCCGAGGCAAUUAAAGAGGCCAUCAAAUCGGCCUUUGGAUUAAGAACAAGGCGAGCUUUUUGGCUUGAAGAUGAGGACGAGGUUGUUCGUUCCUUGGACAGGGACAUGCCAGUCGGAGUAUAUACUCUUCAUCUUGAUAAUGGGAUAACAAUCAAACUCUGCACAUUUGAAGAUGCAGACCGCAUGACAGUCCGGACAGAAGAUAAGACAUUCUACACUGAAGACGACUUCAGAGAUUUUCUAUCACGGCGUGGUUGGACACUCCUCAGGGAGUAUAGUGGCUACAGAGUUGCUGAUACUCUGGACGAUCUUCGCCCUGGCGUGAUUUACCAGGGGAUGCGCUCGCUUGUAGAUUGA